rnacentral:rRNA from 1 species
AUUGAACGCUGGCGGCAUGCUUUACACAUGCAAGUCGAACGGUAACAGGUUAAGCUGACGAGUGGCGAACGGGUGAGUAAUGCAUCGGAACGUGCCCGAUCGUGGGGGAUAACGCAGCGAAAGCUGCGCUAAUACCGCAUACGAUCUGAGGAUGAAAGCGGGGGACAGUAAGGCCUCGCGCGAUCGGAGCGGCCGAUGUCAGAUUAGGUAGUUGGUGGGGUAAAGGCUCAACAAGCCAACGAUCUGUAGCUGGUCUGAGAGGACGACCAGCCACACUGGGACUGAGACAAGGCCCAGACUCCUACGGGAGGCAGCAGUGGGGAAUUUUGGACAAUGGGCGAAAGCCUGAUCCAGCAAUGCCGCGUGCAGGAAGAAGGCCUUCGGGUUGUAAACUGCUUUUGUACGGAGCGAAAAGGCCCUCUCUAAUACAGUGGGCUCAUGACGGUACCGUAAGAAUAAGCACCGGCUAACUACGUGCCAGCCGCCGCAGUAA